CACGGCUCAGCUGCUGGAGAGCGAGGCGGCCGCGUUCCCACGGUGUAACGGUCAGCACUCUGGACUCUGAACCCAGCGAUCCGAGUUCGAGUCUCGGUGGGACCUUUCCCUUUAGGCCGCACGCAGGGUCUUUUACCAGCGCAGCCGGAUCUCAGUCUCCUGAAAGCGACCUGCGCCUCAGGUGCGCGCUGAGUGGGCCUACUCUCCCGCCCCAGCGCCCAGCUCGUCCUGCUCUGGGGACCAGAAGGUCUGGGUCCCGCGAAGGAGGCCCUGGGCCCCCGUGCUCUGCCGCCUCCCGCUCAGCAGCCGAGGUCCGAAACCUGCUGCUCUGAGCAGCGCAGGGCCCUGGACCGCGGGGAGGUGGGGGACGAGCCCGCGGCAGCCCCGCAGGACCCUGCGGCUCUGCGGGUCAAUGGUCAUCGGAGGCCCGGCCCCGCCGCCAAAGGGCGCAGCGACCGAAGCUCUGCCACCCCCUGUCGGGUCACCCUGGGUCUCGAGCGCUGCUGUGUACUCUACCACCAAGAAGGAAGUAUGAAAGACAGAAACACUUAUUAAAGUACACCCUAGUAUACAGUUUAGACUGUGGCAAUCCUACAGAACAACCAGCUCAGUUUCUUCAACAAAUGAAUGAUUUAAAGGGGAAAUAAAGGACAGCAAUAGACCAAGCGAGAUGGAGAGCGGGUGAGAGAGAGAGCAAAGAAGGAAGGAAAGAAGAAAUAGAAGGUAAGCAUACAUGUAAGAGACUUAAAUGCAUUAUCUUAGUGAUUCCAGUUGGUGGAUUCUAUUUGGAUCCAAAAAAGAAGACUAACUUAGAAAGAAAAAUGGAGGAGCAGGAGGGGCAUUUCCCUGG
rnacentral:tRNA from 1 species